UAAUUUUAACUAUUAAAUUUUGCCCAUCUAUGUUUAAAACGUGUAUUUUAGUCUAAUUUCAUGUUAAGUGCAUGCAUUGAAGCUAAAAGUGAUAAAAAAUAUACCGAAGUGAAAAAACAAGAUAGAUUUAUGUGUUAUUCGUUUUGAGCAACCAUAUUUUACUACUAUUUCAGCCAUUUCUAUUGGUAUGACGUAGUACAUUGUGCGAUUGACAGACUAUAUUUCUGUGCGUGACAAGAAUACUUCUGUAUUACAGGUUACGGCCGUUCAAUGAAAAUUCCUGGCGUAAUAAAACCGGACACGAAGUGACACGGAGCAGAUAAAACUUCAACGAAAUAAGCUAUGUAAAUAAACGCACGCGAAGGGGGAUAAAGAGGAGAAGAGUGGCCAGUGAAACGAGGUCAUUGGUAGCUUUUUCCCCCCCGUUCAUUUUUACGCUCGCCGCCAGCGGAGAAACCCCAGAUUCUUUGCAAUUUUUCAUCUUUAUCCAUUGACAUAGAAGCUCUACCUUAAUGAUGUUCCUGAUGAAUUUUCUUGGAAGCUCAUCCGAUGACUGCUCAUCUCAGAGUAACAGUAUCGUCAACCUACUGGUAUUUGGGCUUUUUCACUAUUAGUUUCAUUUAUUUUCUACAAACGCCUUACGGAUAGCCUCGUUACUUGGCCGGCCAACCCUCUUCUCGUCGCAGUGAAACACCAACGCAACGGUUAUAAUGGCGCUGCUCUUUUCUUGCUCUCGUGAAGGAGGAGGAAAAAAGAGUUGUUACCGCAUUUACAAUUCAACUUGUUAAGCGGUACAAAUGUAUCGAAAUGUUUUAAAUUUUUAAGUGGAAUAGGAGACGAUUAUUUAUUAAUCGAAGAAAAUAUAAUACGAGAAAAAAAGUUUGGAGUCGCUCGUUU